AUACGGAGGGUGCAAGCGUUAAUCGGAAUUACUGGGCGUAAAGCGUACGUAGGCGGUUAUUUAAGUCAGAUGUGAAAGCCCCGGGCUUAGCUUGGGAACUGCAUUUGAAACUGGGUAACUAGAGUUUAGUAGAGGGGAGUGGAAUUUCAGGUGUAGCGGUGAAAUGCGUAGAGAUCUGAAGGAACACCAGUGGCGAAGGCGACUCCCUGGACUAAAACUGACGCUGAGGUACGAAAGCGUGGGUAGCAAACAGGAUUAGAAACCCUAGUAGUCC
rnacentral:rRNA from 1 species